rnacentral:rRNA from 1 species
GUAAUGGCCUACCAAGGCGUCGACGGGUAGCCGACCUGAGAGGGUGACCGGCCACACUGGGACUGAGACACGGCCCAGACUCCUACGGGAGGCAGCAGUGGGGAAUAUUGCACAAUGGGCGGAAGCCUGAUGCAGCGACGCCGCGUGAGGGAUGAAGGCCUUCGGGUUGUAAACCUCUUUCAGCAGGGACGAAGCGUGAGUGACGGUACCUGCAGAAGAAGCACCGGCUAACUACGUGCCAGCAGCCGCGGUAAUACGUAGGGUGCGAGCGUUGUCCGGAAUUACUGGGCGUAAAGAGUUCGUAGGCGGUUUGUCGCGUCGUUUGUGAAAACCCGGGGCUCAACUUCGGGCUUGCAGGCGAUACGGGCAGACUUGAGUGUUUCAGGGGGGACUGGAAUUCCUGGUGUAGCGGUGAAAUGCGCAGAUAUCAGGAGGAACACCGGUGGCGAAGGCGGGUCUCUGGGCCGAUACUGACGCUGAGGAGCGAAAGCGUGGGGAGCGAACAGGAUUAGAUACCCUGGUAGUCCACGCCGUAAACGUUGGGCGCUAGG